rnacentral:rRNA from 1 species
GAAAGUAAAUAAGGGCGCAUGGCGGAUGCCUUGGCUCUCGGAGGCGAUGAAGGACGUGAUAAGCUGCGAUAAGCUUCGGGUAGGUGCAAAUGACCUUUGAUCCGAAGAUUUCCGAAUGGGACAACCCGGCAUUCUGAAGGAAUGUCAUCCAACCUGGUUGGAGGCUAACGCAGGGAACUGAAACAUCUUAGUACCUGCAGGAAAAGAAAAUAAAUAAUGAUUCCCCUAGUAGUGGCGAGCGAACGGGGAUUAGCCCAAACCACCCAUGUUACGGCAUGUGUGGGGUUGUAGGACCACGCUCUCGCAAGACAGUUAUUGAGAAGAAACGACUGGAAAGUCGUGCCAUAGACGGUGAUAGCCCGGUAUUCUAAGGUAACCGAAGCGUAGUGGUAUCCUGAGUAGCGCGGAGCACGAGGAAUUCUGCGUGAAUCAGCCGGGACCAUCCGGUAAGGCUAAAUACUCCCGAGAGACCGAUAGCGAACCAGUACUGUGAAGGAAAGGUGAAAAGCACUUCGAAUAGAAGAGUGAAAUAGUCCCUGAAACCAUGCGCCUACAAGCGGUCGGAGCAGCUUAAGCUGUGACGGCGUGCCUUUUGCAUAAUGAACCUACGAGUUACUUUUUCCGGCAAGGUUAAGCAUCUUGAGAUGUGGAUCCGAAGCGAAAGCGAGUCUGAACAGGGCGGAUAGUCGGAAGGAGUAGACGCGAAACCAAGUGAUCUACCCUUGGGCAGGUUGAAGGUUAGGUAACACUAACUGGAGGACCGAACCGAUAAGCGUUGAAAAGCUUCCGGAUGACCUGAGGGUGGGGGUGAAAGGCUAAUCAAACUUGGAGAUAGCUCGUACUCCCCGAAAUGCAUUUAGGUGCAGCCUUGAGAGUUACUAAUGUGAGGUAGAGCGACUGAUAAGAUGCGAGGGCUUCACCGCCUAUCAAGUCUUGAUAAACUCCGAAUGCGCAUUAGUUCUAUCUCAGGAGUGAGGGCAUGGGUGCUAAGGUCCAUGUCCUAAAGGAGAAGAAUCCAGACCAUCAGCUAAGGUCCCCAAAUAAACACUAAGUUGAACUAACGAAGUCAGAUUGCUAAGACAGCUAGGAUGUUGGCUUGGAAGCAGCCAUUCAUUUAAAGAGUGCGUAACAGCUCACUAGUCGAGGAGUUUGGCGUGGAUAAUAAUCGGGCAUAAGUGUUUUACCGAAGCUAUGGGAUACGUAAGUAUCGGUAGGGGAGCAUUCCACUCGGCGUUGAAGGCGAAGCGUGAGCUUUACUGGAGCGUGUGGAAAAGCAAAUGUAGGUAUAAGUAACGAUAAAGGGGGUGAGAAACCCCCUCGCCGCAAGACUAAGGUUUCCUGAUCAACGCUAAUCGGAUCAGGGUUAGUCGGGUCCUAAGGCUCAGCCGAACGGUGAGGCCGAUGGCAGAACAGGUUAAUAUUCCUGUACUACCUGUAGGAGUGACGUGGAGACGGAGGAGUGACAACGCCGCGGACUGACGGAAUAGUCCGUUAAAGGGUGUAGAUGUUGAUUAUCCCAGGCAAAUCCGGGAUAAGAGUCGAACCUGACAGUAUACCAAUUUCCCCGGAAAACGGUAAUAGUGCGUGUAAACAUACUCCCAAGAAAAUCCGCUAAACUUAAUCUUACAGGUACCCGUACCGUAAACGGACACACGUAGUCGGGUUGAAUAUACUCAGGCGCUUGAGUGAAUCACGGUUAAGGAACUAGGCAAAUUGACCCUGUAACUUCGGGAUAAAGGGUCCCUACCCGGUGACGGGAGGGCGCAGAGAAUAGGUCCAGGCAACUGUUUAACAAAAACACAGGGCUGUGCAAAAUUGAAAGAUCACGUAUACAGCCUGACACCUGCCCGGUGCUGGAAGGUUAAGAGGAGAUGUCAUCGCAAGAGAAGCAUUGAAUUGAAGCCCCAGUAAACGGCGGCCGUAACUAUAACGGUCCUAAGGUAGCGAAAUUCCUUGUCGGGU